rnacentral:lncRNA from 1 species
GUGAAUGCCUGUGCAGAACGUCAUUUUUAUGGUAGAAUAAAUAACCCUAGUCGUAACCUGCAUGCAUUGUCGGUGUUCAUAUCUCAUUGGUGAUUAGUGGCCUGCGCUAAUUUGUUUUGCUAAUUUCUGUAGCCAACUUCAGUGACCUCAUACAGAGGAUGGGGAAAAAACGCAUCUCUGUCCCCGACAACAUCUUCUAUGAUGUACAAACUGAAGACGUCACAACUAAAAAGCGUUCAAAAAAGAAACAAAAAAAGGGGAACAGAGCAAGAAAAGGAGUCGCAGCAGUAGCAGCUCCGAUGAGGAGGUCGUAGAAAUGAAGCUGCUGCAGAAAGAAAAAGAAGUAUCAAAGCAGCUGAG